rnacentral:rRNA from 1 species
UAAACUGGGAUUUAGUACCCCACUAUGCCCAGUCGUAAAAUUAAGUAAGGUAUUACUUCUAUUACUCGCCAGGGGACUACGAGCUACGUUUUGUUUUAAAUACAAAGCUUACUUGCUUAAAACCCAAAGGACUUGGCGGUGCUUUAUAUCCCCCUAGAGGAGCCUGUUAUAGAAUCGAUAACCCCCGCUAAACCUCACCUUUUCUUGUAAAUACAGUUUGUAUACCGCCGUCGUCAGUUUACCCUAUGAAGGAACAAUAGUAGACUCAAUUGUACUAAGCCAAAAUGACAGGUCAAGGUGCAGCUAAUGAAAAGGAAUUAAAUGGGCUACAUUUACUGACUCAGUAAAUUACGAAUGUUUGUGCUGAAAAGACAACUGAAGGUGGAUUUAGUAGUAAGAAAUGAAAAGAGUGCAUUUCUGAACUUUAAGGCUCUGAAGCGUGGACACACCGCCCCGUCCACCCUCAAA